CGGACGGGUGAGUAAUGCUUGGGAAUCUGGCUCAUGGAGGGGGAUAACUACGGGAAACUGUAGCUAAUACCGCGUAGUAUCGGAAGAUGAAAGUGUGGGACCGCAAGGCCACAUGCCAUGAGAUGAGCCCAAGUGGGAUUAGGUAGUUGGUUAGGUAAAGGCUGACCAAGCCGACGAUCUCUAGCUGGUCUGAGAGGAUGACCAGCCACACUGGAACUGAGACACGGUCCAGACUCCUACGGGAGGCAGCAGUGGGGAAUAUUGCACAAUGGGGGAAACCCUGAUGCAGCCAUGCCGCGUGAAUGAAGAAGGCCUUCGGGUUGUAAAGUUCUUUCGGUGAUGAGGAAGGUGUUUGUUUUAAUAGGACAAGCAAUUGACGUUAGUCACAGAAGAAGCACCGGCUAACUCCGUGCCAGCAGCCGCGGUAAUACGGAGGGUGCGAGCGUUAAUCGGAAUAACUGGGCGUAAAGGGCACGCAGGCGGUGACUUAAGUGAGAUGUGAAAGCCCCGAGCUUAACUUGGGAAUUGCAUUUCAUACUGGGUCGCUAGAGUACUUUAGGGAGGGGUAGAAUUCCACGUGUAGCGGUGAAAUGCGUAGAGAUGUGGAGGAAUACCGAAGGCGAAGGCAGCCCCUUGGGAAUGUACUGACGCUCAUGUGCGAAAGCGUGGGGAGCAAACAGGAUUAGAUACCCUGGUAGUCCACGCUGUAAACGCUGUCGAU
rnacentral:rRNA from 1 species